GCCCGCUUGGCUAAGUGGUAUAGCGUGUCACUAGUACUCGAAGCAAUUCGCCUAGCUAGGUGCCAUGACAAGAUCAGCGGUUCGAUUCCGCUAGUGGGCA